GACGAACGCUGGCGGCGUGCUUAACACAUGCAAGUCGAACGGUAAGGCUCCAGCUUGCUGGGGUACACGAGUGGCGAACGGGUGAGUAACACGUGGGUGACCUGCCCUGCACUUCGGGAUAAGCCUGGGAAACUGGGUCUAAUACCGGAUAGGACCGCACCGUGAGGGUGUGGUGGAAAGUUUUUUCGGUGUGGGAUGGGCCCGCGGCCUAUCAGCUUGUUGGUGGGGUAAUGGCCUACCAAGGCGGCGACGGGUAGCCGGCCUGAGAGGGUGGACGGCCACAUUGGGACUGAGACACGGCCCAGACUCCUACGGGAGGCAGCAGUGGGGAAUAUUGCACAAUGGGCGGAAGCCUGAUGCAGCGACGCCGCGUGGGGGAUGGCGGCCUUCGGGUUGUAAACUCCUUUCACCAUCGACGAAGGGUUUCUGACGGUAGAUGGAGAAGAAGCACCGGCUAACUACGUGCCAGCAGCCGCGGUAAUACGUAGGGUGCGAGCGUUGUCCGGAAUUACUGGGCGUAAAGAGCUCGUAGGUGGUUUGUCGCGUCGUCUGUGAAAUUCCGGGGCUUAACUCCGGGCGUGCAGGCGAUACGGGCAUAACUUGAGUACUGUAGGGGAGACUGGAAUUCCUGGUGUAGCGGUGAAAUGCGCAGAUAUCAGGAGGAACACCGGUGGCGAAGGCGGGUCUCUGGGCAGUAACUGACGCUGAGGAGCGAAAGCAUGGGGAGCGAACAGGAUUAGAUACCCUGGUAGUCCAUGCCGUAAACGGUGGGCGCUAGGUGUGGGUUUCCUUCCACGGGAUCCGUGCCGUAGCUAACGCAUUAAGCGCCCCGCCUGGGGAGUACGGCCGCAAGGCUAAAACUCAAAGGAAUUGACGGGGGCCCGCACAAGCGGCGGAGCAUGUGGAUUAAUUCGAUGCAACGCGAAGAACCUUACCUGGGCUUGACAUAUACAGGAUCGCGCCAGAGAUGGUGUUUCCCUUGUGGCUUGUAUACAGGUGGUGCAUGGUUGUCGUCAGCUCGUGUCGUGAGAUGUUGGGUUAAGUCCCGCAACGAGCGCAACCCUUGUCUUAUGUUGCCAGCACGUUGUGGUGGGGACUCGUAAGAAACUGCCGGGGUUAACUCGGAGGAAGGUGGGGAUGACGUCAAAUCAUCAUGCCCCUUAUGUCCAGGGCUUCACACAUGCUACAAUGGUCGGUACAGUGGGUUGCCAGUCCGUGAGGGCGAGCUAAUCCCGCAAAGCCGGUCUCAGUUCGGAUCGGGGUCUGCAACUCGACCCCGUGAAGUCGGAGUCGCUAGUAAUCGCAGAUCAGCAACGCUGCGGUGAAUACGUUCCCGGGCCU
rnacentral:rRNA from 1 species